GAUGAAGAACGCAGCGAAAUGCGAAAAGUAGUGUGAAUUGCAGAAUUCAGUGAAUCAUCGAAUCUUUGAACGCACAUUGCGCCCCUUGGUAUUCCAUGGGGCAUGCCUGUUCGAGCGUCAUUUGUACCUUCAAGCUUUGCUUGGUGUUGGGUGUUUGUCCUGAGGGACUCGCCUUAAAGUAAUUGGCAGCCAGUGUUUGGUUUUGAAGCGCAGCACAAGUCGCGAUUCAAGGCUAUACACCAGCUUCCACAAGCCUUUUUCACUUUUGACCUCGGAUCAGGUAGGGAUACCCGCUGAACUUAAGCAUAUCAAUAAGCGGAGGA
rnacentral:misc_RNA from 1 species